CAAUAGCGUAUAUUAAAGUUGUUGCAGUUAAAAAGCUCGUAGUUGGAUUUGUGGUGUACUUCGGCGGCCCGUCACUAUGUGAUGGAGCUUGCUGAAGUCGCCAUCCUUGGGUGGAUCCUGUGUGGCAUUAAGUUGUCGUGCAGGGGAUGCCCAUCGUUUACUGUGAAAAAAUUAGAGUGUUCAAAGCAGGCUUAUGCCGUUGAAUAUAUUAGCAUGGAAUAAUAAGAUAGGACCUUGGUACUAUUUUGUUGGUUUGCGCACCAAGGCAAUGAUUAAUAGGGACAGUUGGGGGUAUUCGUAUUUCAUUGUCAGAGGUGAAAUUCUUGGAUUUUUGAAAGACGAACUACUGCGAAAGCAUUUACCAAGGAUGUUUUCAUUAA
rnacentral:rRNA from 1 species